AGACAUUGCACGUGUGAGGAAUAAUCCUCGGCAGGCCCAAUACCCCAUUAACUACAAUUCCCAAUAUCAUCUGGAAAAGUGACGCCGAAAUCACAAAACAGAGGUAUCAGAUAUACGGCCGGCUACCUGUCACAGCAUAAGGUGCACAAUACCGACGAACAGUCAUCGUACCAAGCAACCCGUACCGUCGCACAGUACGAACCACGAAGAGGCGACAGUGCAGCUUCCAUCCCGCGCAAACGGACCAUAUCCACCAAAUCACUCCCCGAACACAGAAGGCCCUC